GCCAUAUUGGCAUUGAGUAUAACUGAGUCCUUAACAGGUUAUGUUGGACCGACUCAACCAAAUGAAUCUGGUCAAUCCGCUGCUCGUGAACUCGGUUUAGCUUACAGUGAAUAUUUCUACAAAUAUUUCAAAGCAUUUUUUGACGGAAACUUACGUAAUUUUGUCUAUUUGCCAUUUGGUGCAUUUCAAGCAAUAAACACGCCACGUUAUGGCGCCAAAGGAAAUACUGCUCAGCAAUUCGACUCAGUUUUCCCAUUGCCGUUAGACGAAAAUGUCAAGAACCUAGGUUACCAGUAUAAUACUGCGUACUUGAACCGUCCAAAUGCAGAGCCUAACUUCACUUUCCAUAGUACAUAUUUCACAAGCAACGGCAACUAUUUGCAAUCCAAAGCUCAGGAAGACUUAAGUAAAUAUUAUGGAUUAGAAAUAAAAAAUCAAAACUUCAAUGAUCCUCAACAAAAUGCUCAGAUAGUUAAUCAACUGGCUUCCUUUUACACAAAUGGC